UAGUCAGGCUGUGCAAGAAUGAGACGUGCACAGUUCACAUAUAGGAUUUGACCCUUCACUUAUACCAGCCAAAAUGGGCACCAGUACAAUUUAAUAUUGCAUUUGUCACUGCGAUGCAACAGGAAAGUGUUUUGGACGUAAUAUGCUCACACGUACAUCUUGUUCAUCAUUCUGCCCUCUAUGGAGAUAUUGACAUCAAUACCUUUCCGUUAUAACUACUGUACAAUAAUACACCAGCCAUCAAAUUUAGUACAUAUAAAUCUACAUAUAAUUUAGUACAUGUGAACUGGAAACGUUAGGUAACAAAAUACACCAACUUAGUACGUCAUGAAAAACAUACAAAAACAGAGAAAAAAAACUCAACUUCUACCUACCUAAUAAAUGCCAUGUGGGGUUUUUGUCUGAGAAGUUGCCAGCUAAUGAAUUUGAGGAUAUUCCCACUUGUAAGAAUAAGGGGUGCCAAGAUUCUAUCGUUGCUUCAAUAUGAUGAGGACAAAUGGAGCUCUGAGGUACUGUUAUACUUCUUUUGAAGAAUAGAAUGCUUGUGCUGUCCUGAGAAAUAGUAAUUAUUCCUGUAUGUGGAGUCUAUGUACUAUUGUAAGUUUUCAUGUUCAUAGGAAUUGGAAUGUAUAAUUCAUGUUAUCCACACCAGAGGAAAUUCUUCCUUAACAGAAACAGAAGUGGCGAUUUCUA